GUAGGUGGCGAGCGUUGUCCGGAUUUAUUGGGUUUAAAGGGUGCGUAGGCGGCCCUGUAAGUCAGUGCUGAAAUAUUCCAGCUUAACUGGGAGGGUGGCAUUGAUACUGUGGGGCUAGAGUACAGAUGAGGUAGGCGGAAUUGACGGUGUAGCGGUGAAAUGCUUAGAUAUCGUCAAGAACACCUAUAGCGAAGGCAGCUUACUAGGCUGUAACUGACGCUGAGGCACGAAAGUGUGGGGAUCAAACAGGAUUAGAUACCCUGGUAGUCCACACUGUAAACGUUGAUUACUCGCUGUUUGCGAUAUACAGCAAGCGGCCAAGCGAAAGCGCUAAGUAAUCCACCUGGGGAGUACGCCGGCAACGGUGAA
rnacentral:rRNA from 1 species